rnacentral:rRNA from 1 species
UAAUGGCAGGUCAGCAUACUGCCGUGAAUACGUUCCCGGGCCUUGUACACACCGCCCGUCACACCAUGAGAGUUGGGAAUACCCGAAGCCUGUGAGCUAACGUAAGAGGCAGCAGUCGAAGGUAGAAUCAAUGAUUGGGGUGAAGUCGUAACAAGGUAUC